CCCGCGGCGGCGGAGAACAGCUGGAAAGGAGACUCCGGGCUGGGGUCGCGGUGGGAAUCUGGAAGCGUCUGUUUCUCUGUGGCGUCGGGUUCGCGAGCGGAGUCCGUGGGUCCCGCCGAGCGCUCCCGAGACGGGGCAGAGUUCUUAGGGUUUUGACUUUGGUCUGUUUUUAAGGGGAGGGGGUGUGAGCGGGGAAGAGAAUGGACAGAAUACUGACUGGAACGUUCAUUGGAGCAUUUCCUAAGCGAAGAGCCAUCUAAUUCCGUAUUCUUCUCCCUUCAGUUGCUCCAUUAGGCCUAACUUCAUUUCUGAAUCCUCCGUGUUGAGAUCGGACAGUGCGCUUGGCCUGUUUCAGGGGUGACAGGUUAAUCCCAUCCCCGUGCAUUUUAAUUAGGGCACGCCACUCAACCACGUGUUUGCGAUGGAAUUUCUGAAGACUUGUGUGCUUAGGAGAAAGGCAUGUGCCACGGUUUGCUUCUGGAGAAGCCAAGUUAUACAAAAGCUUUCCGUUAGAAAGAUCGGUACUACCUCUCCGAGGAGCACUGUCAUGCCCGCGUGGGUGAUAGACAAAUAUGGGAAGAAUGAAGUGCUUCGAUUUACUCAGAACAUGAGGAUGCCCAUCAUACACUAUCCGAACGAAGUCAUUAUCAAAGUGCACGCUACGAGUGUAAAUCCCAUAGAUGUUAAUAUGAGAAGUGGUUAUGGAGCUGCAGCUUUAAAUAUGAAACGUGACCCUUUACAUAUUAAAAUCAAAGGAGAAGAAUUCCCCCUGACUCUGGGUCGGGAUGUCUCUGGUGUGGUGAUGGAAUGUGGACUUGAUGUGAGGUACUUCAAGCCUGGAGAUGAGGUCUGGGCUGCAGUUCCUCCCUGGAAACAAGGCACUCUCUCAGAGUUUGUUGUAGUCAGUGGAAAUGAGGUCUCUCACAAGCCCAAAUCACUCACUCAUACUCAAGCUGCCUCUUUGCCAUAUGUGGCUCUCACAGCCUGGUCUGCCAUAAACAAGGUUGGCGGCCUGAAUGAAAAAAAUUGCACAGGAAAACGUGUUUUAAUCUUGGGUGCUUCAGGUGGAGUUGGUACUUUUGCUAUACAGGUAAUGAAAGCAUGGGAUGCUCAUGUGACAGCAGUUUGCUCUCAGGAUGCCAGUGGACUUGUAAAGAAGCUUGGGGCAGAUGAUGUAAUUGAUUAUAAAUCUGGAAAUGUGGAAGAACAGUUGAAAUCUUUAAAACCGUUUGAUUUUAUCCUUGAUAAUGUUGGUGGGUCCACUGAAACGUGGGCUCUAAAUUUACUCAAGAAAUGGUCAGGAGCCACAUACGUGACUUUGGUGACUCCUUUUCUCCUGAACAUGGACCGGUUGGGCGUAGCAGACGGCAUGUUGCAGACGGGCGUCACCAUGGGCUCUAAGACACUAAAGCAUUUCUGGCAAGGAGUCCAUUACCGCUGGGCCUUUUUCAUGGCCAGUGGUCUAUAUCUGGAUGACAUUGCAAAGCUGGUGGAUGAAGGAAAGAUUCAGCCAGUUAUUGAAAAAACCUUUCCUUUUUCUGAAGUUCCAGAAGCCUUUCUGAAGGUGGAAAGAGGACAUGCACGAGGAAAGACUGUAAUUAAUGUCAUUUAAAUAAAUAGUGUUUGGUGAUUACUGGCUCGCUUAUUUGGUGAGUGCUGGUGGGCCCGAACUUUUUUUUAGCCACCCUUUCCAGAUUAGACUAUAAGUUCCAUGUUAUAUAUAAAAAAAGGAACACUUUCUGUUAGUAAUUUCCUGUCUUCUAAACUGAGCAGAGAUUGGUUUUACAGCCACACCGCCACCCUCCACACAUCCCUCUGCCCUGCCGAGUGCUUUCUGAUGUAACCCACUCCUGUUUGCUGAGAGGUCUGUCCUCUGCCCAGCACAAUGGAUGCACACGUAAGACACACUGUGAACAUAGCCACACUUGGACUUGUCUAUAAAGUCAGUGAAAAUUGCAUGUUGUUUUUUCCAAGCUGUUCUUUCACACCAGAUUUGCAAAUUGUUGUGGCACCUUCUGUCCUAGUGGCUGAAACUGAUUUUACUGUUUUAUGCUCCCUCUUAGGUUCAGCAGUGAGCACGCUUUCCUUUGAUUUUUGUUCCUCUGCUGAGUUCUGAACCUCUUGGGGUCAUACAUAAACAUCUGGCUGUGAUUUGGUUGUUUACUCUUAGAAAUUGAAAGUGAUGCUAAAGUGCCUAACUUUUAAAAACCCUUACAUUUUGCAUAAGAGCUAGACCUCCUUCAACCAGUGAAACAUGCUUCUCUGGGGACCUUUCCAUGGAAAUUUCCACCAUUCCACUGGGGCCCACAGCUCUCCAGUUUCUGACUUUACUAGCAAAUGCCCAGUGCGGCUUUUGAAUCUCUAGUGUGCCCUUCAUUCAUUGCAGGUGAGUGUCCAUUUCCUGUUGUACUCAUCAUUACUGCACCCUAGACACUCGCGUUUAGCUUUUGAUAUAGACCUGUUUGAGUAACUUUCUGCUUAGUUUAUUCCUAGUAGAUACUCAUUUACUAGUGUGUUGGAUGAGGGCUUUUCUCUGGAAUUGCUGAUCUCAUCACUACAGACUUAUCUCAAAAGAAAAAACUGUGGGGUUUUUUCAGUUGUAAAUAUGCCACUUUGACUUCCACCUGAACAGUCAGCUCUUUAACUUUGAGGUAUCCCAGGGGGUGGUGCAGGGUAAACUCAAGGCAGGACCUCACUCCCCCUCAUGUCCACUCAAAAAAGUGUAGUGCACCCUUUCACCAGUGUCUGGAAAGAGGGGAGUCAGCUGACCUUUCCCUGCCAUAUUCUAGCCCCCCUGAAACUUGCUUUGUCCUAAUUAGGCAUUUGUUUCUAAUCUGCCAGCUGACUCCCUUUGAAGUGUUAAUGAGGGCUACUAACCAAUUUCAUAACACAGUUAACCAGAAACAAGUUUAUUCAAGAGAUAAAUUCAACAGAGGCUACUGUAGGAUGUCUUACCCCACCACACUGUAAUGGAUGCACAAAGGCCGAAAAUCAGAGCCACACACCUCAGAACAAGACAGACAUGCUGGCUGCUAUUGGACAUGUACAAACAUUACUUUAAAACCGAAGAUACUACUAUGAUGACCAUAAUUGCUUACCACAGACUCCAGAGAGGAUCAACACUUCAGAAUGGGAAACAUGAAAAGGAAACCAGGUUUGUUCUUCCUGUGACAAGAGCACCAGCAUUCAGUGCCGAGGACAAUGAAGUGGGGACAGAAAGAGGAAGAGGGUGUUCAAGGACUGUUUUAGCAGUUUUGUUCAAAAUGAGUAUCCACAGUAUGAACAGCACCAUCUGGGCAGUGUAUCGUCAGCAGUUAAACAUUUUGAACUUUCAUUGAAGCGCUUGCUGAAUUUUACGGUUUUCAGAGUUCUAAGAUUUGACCAAUAAGCAUCACUGAAGGCCUCCUGACCUUUCCUUUUGGAGAAUUGCUGGUCAUCCUCCUGAGCCUUCCACACCCCAAGUGACCAUGGGCUGCAAUACCCUGAGACCUGAGCUGUCCUCGGAGCAUGGCUGUGCAACAUCACCAAUCUGAUCGUCAGCGCCGACGUCCUCUGUGACCUGUAUUCUGAGAAGCUUCAGGUCCUCUAAGUUCCCGUUGGUUGACAUGAAUAACCCUGUUGCCUUGUUUCGAAGUCUGAAAUAAAUACGUUUCUAGAAGACAAAACCCCAGCAAUGAUCACAAGGAUGCUGGUGCCCACACCUGAAGACAUGUGGACUCCUGCACGCAAUGGCAUGUGAGCGACCCAGCAGCCUUCCUCUGGCCCAUGUGUUACCAAGGAAGAAUGUCCUCGACUUUCCAUCAUGGAACUCUAAAGCACCCAGAUAAUUGUUUUUUAAACAGCUAUAGUCCCCUCCAAUACUUGAUGCAUACAAGUGGACUAUACCUACUUUUGAGAGUGAAACAAAAAUACUUUCUUAAAAACA